AGGUUGUUCAUAAAAUAAUUUUUAGUUCUCAAGGAUCACUUUUGCAAUCAAGCUAGGAUCUCCACAUUCGAGACCAAGGUAACUGAAAGUCUAGAAUGCUGGUGGCGAGUGGAACUUUGGACGCUUGUGUGUGUGAACUCGCUGAGGGCCAUAUAACUGCGGGUGGUCUAGGACACUCUAUUUAUUUAUUUAUUUACGCUAUUAAGUUUAUGUCGCAAUUAUUUUAGUUAUUAUUUAUUAUGUCUUUUGUACGAAAACUGGCCAGUUGUGAAUAUUUUCAAGUAUUAAAUAAAAAUGCGACAUUAUAAUUUUCCGCA